GACGAACGCUGGCGGCGUGCUUAACACAUGCAAGUCGAACGGAAAGGCCCUGCUUUUGUGGGGUGCUCGAGUGGCGAACGGGUGAGUAACACGUGAGUAACCUGCCCUUGACUUUGGGAUAACUUCAGGAAACUGGGGCUAAUACCGGAUAGGAUCUCCUGCUGCAUGGUGGGGGUUGGAAAGUUUCGGCGGUUGGGGAUGGACUCGCGGCUUAUCAGCUUGUUGGUGGGGUAGUGGCUUACCAAGGCUUUGACGGGUAGCCGGCCUGAGAGGGUGACCGGCCAAAUUGGGACUGAGAUACGGCCCAGACUACUCCGGGAGGCAGCAGUGGGGAAUAUUGCCCAAUGGGCGGAAGCCUGAUGCAGCAACGCCGCGUGCGGGAUGACGGCCUUCGGGUUGUAAACCGCUUUCGCCUGUGACGAAGCGUGAGUGACGGUAAUGGGUAAAGAAGCACCGGCUAACUCCGUG
rnacentral:rRNA from 1 species